UAAUUUUUUAACAGGAUCAACUACAGCUCAAACUGAAACUAAUAGCCAAGACACUUCUUCAGUCCUGAUUUACAUUGUUGCCAGUGUUGCAAGUAUUGGAUUAGUAAGCCUAAUAGUUGGAGUCAUUUGUUUCUUUGUGAUUAGGAAAUAUCGAACCAAAAAGACUUUAACUCUGCAACAGAUUCAGCAGUCUAACUAAUUAUCUUAUGGUCAAAAACUGUCAAGGAACAUUAUAAGUCUAUUUAAUUUUAAUUUAGACUUUUUGAUUUGUUACAUAUUAUUAUCUUUAAUAAUGUCAAUUUCUUUUAUUUUCAAAGAUAUAUAACAUAUGGAAACUUCAAGCCUGGUAAAUAGUAUAUCAGUAAAAACUUUUUUUUUAGGUUUUCACUCCGAAUAAGGGAGUUCAGAGUAAUGGAAAUAACAGCAAAAAAACGAAUACAUUUUUGCUUUCAAAUGACAUUUUUUAAUGUUUCAAUAUGUUAAAUUUAUCUCAGAGAUAUAAUUUUACAUUUUAGUACAACUCUUUUUGGUUUACAUGCUUAAAAAUUACAAAACCCUACUAAACAGCACUAAGAGGGCAUUUAAAUUUUCAAACAAAAUCCACUUUUCUUUCUAUAAUUUUACAUGAAAAAAAACUAUAUUUACUCCCUAUUAUAUUAUUGUAAUGUGGCAUGUAUGGACACAUUCAGACAGUAGGACAAAUCAGCUUUACAGCUCAAGCUAGCUGUACUGUCAGCAAUUGCUCAUUCUAAUCAAGUCUUACAUUAAACAAAAUGCUUUUAAAAUGCAUUUCUAAGUUUGUAAUAUUUGUAUUCUAACUGAUUUUUAAGACUCUAUCUUUUAGUUAUUGUUUUGUUUCAUACCUUGUUAUUGUUACUACUACCAGUAUUAGUUAAAAACAAAUGCUAAGCAUAAGCUAAAACUUCAACUGGAUUUUCCAUUACAUCUGUGGUAUGUAAAUACAUUUUUUCAUGUGCAUUUAUUGAUGAAUGUAAGGUGAAUAUGUUAUAAUCAUAGUGAAUAUGUCUACAA
rnacentral:sRNA from 1 species